AUGCACGCUGGCGGCAUGCCUCACACAUGCAAGUCGAUCGGUAAGGCUCUUCGGAGUACACGAGAGGCGGACGGCUGAGUAACGCGUAGGAACACACCCUGCAGUGAGGGAUAAGACACCGAAAGGUGUUCUAAUACCGCAUACGGUCUUCGGAUUAAAGCAUUUAUGCGCUGAAGGAGUGGCCUGCGUCAUAUUAGAUAGUUGGUGAGGUAAUGGCUCACCAAGUCGAUGAUGUGUAGCUGGUCUGAGAGGAUGAUCAGCCAGACUGGAACUGAGACACGGUCCAGACUCCUACGGGAGGCAGCAGUGAGGAAUAUUUCACAAUGAGCGAAAGCUUGAUGGAGCAAUGCCGCGUGCAGGAUGAAGGCCCUCGGGUUGUAAACUGCUUUUAUAAGAGAAGAUUAUGACGGUAACUUAUGAAUAAGGGACGGCUAACUACGUG
rnacentral:rRNA from 1 species